rnacentral:rRNA from 1 species
GGGUGAGUAAUACAUCGGAACGUGCCCAGUAGUGGGGGAUAGCCCGGCGAAAGCCGGAUUAAUACCGCAUACGACCUAAGGGUGAAAGCGGGGGAUUCGCAAGAACCUCGCGCUAUUGGAGCGGCCGAUGUCAGAUUAGCUAGUUGGUGGGGUAAAGGCCUACCAAGGCUACGAUCUGUAGUUGGUCUGAGAGGACGACCAGCCACACUGGGACUGAGACACGGCCCAGACUCCUACGGGAGGCAGCAGUGGGGAAUUUUGGACAAUGGGGGCAACCCUGAUCCAGCAAUGCCGCGUGCAGGAAGAAGGCCUUCGGGUUGUAAACUGCUUUUGUCAGGGAAGAAAUCCUCUGAGAUAAUACCUCGGGGGGAUGACGGUACCUGAAGAAUAAGCACCGGCUAACUACGUGCCAGCAGCCGCGGUAAUACGUAGGGUGCGAGCGUUAAUCGGAAUUACUGGGCGUAAAGCGUGCGCAGGUGGCUUUGCAAGACAGAUGUGAAAUCCCCGGGCUUAACCUGGGAACUGCAUUUGUGACUGCAAGGCUAGAGUACGGCAGAGGGGGAUGGAAUUCCGCGUGUAGCAGUGAAAUGCGUAGAUAUGCGGAGGAACACCAAUGGCGAAGGCAAUCCCCUGGGCCUGUACUGACGCUCAUGCACGAAAGCGUGGGGAGCAAACAGGAUUAGAUACCCUGGUAGUCCACGCCCUAAACGAUGUCAACUGGUUGUUGGACGGCUUGCUGUUCAGUAACGAAGCUAACGCGUGAAGUUGACCGCCUGGGGAGUACGGCCGCAAGGUUGAAACUCAAAGAAAUUGACGGGGACCCGCACAAGCGGUGGAUGAUGUGGUUUAAUUCGAUGCAACGCGAAAAACCUUACCUACCCUUGACAUGUUAAGAAUCUUGCAGAGAUGUGGGAGUGCUCGAAAGAGAACUUAAACACAGGUGCUGCAUGGCCGUCGUCAGCUCGUGUCGUGAGAUGUUGGGUUAAGUCCCGCAACGAGCGCAACCCUUGUCAUUAGUUGCUACAUUUAGUUGGGCACUCUAAUGAGACUGCCGGUGACAAACCGGAGGAAGGUGGGGAUGACGUCAGGUCCUCAUGGCCCUUAUGGGUAGGGCUACACACGUCAUACAAUGGCCGGUACAGAGGGCUGCCAACCCGCGAGGGGGAGCUAAUCCCAGAAAACCGGUCGUAGUCCGGAUCGCAGUCUGCAACUCGACUGCGUGAAGUCGGAAUCGCUAGUAAUCGCGGAUCAGCAUGUCGCGGUGAAUACGUUCCCGGGUCUUGUACACACCGCCCGUCACACCAUGGGAGCGGGUUCUGCCAGAAGUAGUUAGCCUAACCGCAAGGA